AUUGAACGCUGGCGGCAGGCUUAACACAUGCAAGUCGAACGGUAACAUAAAGAAGCUUGCUUCUUUGAUGACGAGUGGCGGACGGGUGAGUAAUGCUUGGGAAUCUAGCUUAUGGAGGGGGAUAACUACGGGAAACUGUAGCUAAUACCGCGUAGAAUCGAGAGAUGAAAGUGUGGGACCUUCGGGCCACAUGCCAUAGGAUGAGCCCAAGUGGGAUUAGGUAGUUGGUGAGGUAAAGGCUCACCAAGCCGACGAUCUCUAGCUGGUCUGAGAGGAUGACCAGCCACACUGGGACUGAGACACGGCCCAGACUCCUACGGGAGGCAGCAGUGGGGAAUAUUGCGCAAUGGGGGCAACCCUGACGCAGCCAUGCCGCGUGAAUGAAGAAGGCCUUCGGGUUGUAAAGUUCUUUCGGUAGCGAGGAAGGCAUUUAGUUUAGUAGACUAG
rnacentral:rRNA from 1 species